rnacentral:rRNA from 1 species
GACGAACGCUGGCGGCGUGCUUAACACAUGCAAGUCGAACGGAAAGGCCCUGCUUUUGUGGGGUGCUCGAGUGGCGAACGGGUGAGUAACACGUGAGUAACCUGCCCUUGACUUUGGGAUAACUUCAGGAAACUGGGGCUAAUACCGGAUAGGAGCUCCUGCUGCAUGGUGGGGGUUGGAAAGUUUCGGCGGUUGGGGUUGGACUCGCGGCUUAUCAGCUUGUUGGUGGGGUAGUGGCUUACCAAGGCUUUGACGGGUAGCCGGCCUGAGAGGGUGACCGGCCACAAUAGGACUGAGGUACGGCCCAGACUCCUACGGGAGGCAGCAGUGGGGAAUAUUGCACAAUGGGCGGAAGCCUGAUGCAGCAACGCCGCGUGCGGGAUGACGGCCUUCGGGUUGUAAACCGCUUUCGCCUGUGACGAAGCGUGAGUGACGGUAAUGGGUAAAGAAGCACCGGCUAACUACGUG